UCCCAGACUCCUACGGGAGGCAGCAGUAGGGAAUCUUUCACAAUGGGCGAAAGCCUGAUGGAGCAACGCCGCGUGCAGGAUGAAGGCCUUCGGGUUGUAAACUGCUUUUAUAAGCGAGAAAUAUGAUGGUAACUUAUGAAUAAGCAUCGGCUAACUCCGUGCCAGCAGCCGCGGUAAUACGGAGGAUGCGAGCGUUAUCCGGAUUUAUUGGGUUUAAAGGGUGCGUAGGCGGGCUUUUAAGUCAGCGGUAAAAAUUCGGGGCUCAACCCCGUCCGGCCGUUGAAACUGGGGGCCUUGAGUGGGCGAGAAGAAGGCGGAAUGCGUGGUGUAGCGGUGAAAUGCAUAGAUAUCACGCAGAACCCCGAUUGCGAAGGCAGCCUUCCGGCGCCCAACUGACGCUGAAGCACGAAAGCGUGGGUAUCGAACAGGAUUAGAUACCCCAGUA
rnacentral:rRNA from 1 species